GACGAACGCUGGCGGCGUGCCUAAUACAUGCAAGUAGAACGCUGAAGGAGGAGCUUGCUUCUCUGGAUGAGUUGCGAACGGGUGAGUAACGCGUAGGUAACCUGCCUGGUAGCGGGGGAUAACUAUUGGAAACGAUAGCUAAUACCGCAUAAUAGUAGAUGUUGCAUGACAUUUGCUUAAAAGGUGCAAUUGCCUCACUACCAGAUGGACCUGCGUUGUAUUAGCUAGUUGGUGGGGUAACGGCUCACCAAGGCGACGAUACAUAGCCGACCUGAGAGGGUGAUCGGCCACACUGGGACUGAGACACGGCCCAGACUCCUACGGGAGGCAGCAGUAGGGAAUCUUCGGCAAUGGACGGAAGUCUGACCGAGCAACGCCGCGUGAGUGAAGAAGGGUUUCGGAUCGUAAAGCUCUGUUGUAAGAGAAGAACGAGUGUGAGAGUGGAAAGUUCACACUGUGACGGUAUCUUACCAGAAAGGGACGGCUAACUACGUG
rnacentral:rRNA from 1 species